AUCGGUUUAUAGGGUUGUUGACAGCGGCGGGAAAUUUGAAUAAUAUGAAAGCGUCUUAGCGUUGUUACACGCUUCUGGAUGACUAUGUGUAUUCUGGAUGAGUAUGGAGGCGCAGGGUGAAGAUUGUCAUUCAUGAUGACAGGAAGAUCACCGGAAAUGUCAUUUCAUCCUCCCAUGAUUGAUGACGUCCCAUAAAAUCAGCAGCUGAACGUCGAUUCUCAUAAAUCAGAAAAUCAUGUGUGCAUCUACGCCACGGUGCGUUCCUGUAAUGCAUUUGAUAACGGGUAUCCAAUGAUAUAUUUCCUUCGGGAUCGUUGUGAACGUCGGCCGAUGAUUCACGAUGGGUCCCAAGAAAAGGAUCCUAGGGUAUCAUCGCCUAUAAAUACAUCUAGUAGCCUCCGGCAAGGACGUCGUCGUCGGUUCCUGAGAGAAGAAGAAUCCCUAGGUGGCCUCCACGCGUCUGGACUUCGUGUUAAUUGCUAUCGCGUGUUUACGUCAGACUGAAUCUUCAUCUUGGAUUUUUUAUUUUUCUCCGUCUUUAUCUUCUUUUCCUUCUGCAUAUUCUUAACUUUGUCAAUCCUUUAUAUGCCAUUCGAUUUUCUUUAUUAUCCACGUAUAUACAUAUAUACAUUAUACUGAGCCUU